GCUGGUGAUGGGGUAGUUACCUCUUCCUUGA
rnacentral:tRNA from 1 species